rnacentral:lncRNA from 10 species
CCCUGCUCCAGUACAAUCCCUUCUUUUUAUAGCUUCAGAAGUUGAGACCAAGGAGAGGAAAAGGCAGUCAAGCCCCCCAAGUACUCACUGCUGGGCACGAGUUUCUGUUACACGGAGCCUCAGAAAAUGAACAAUAAAAACGACUUCAGCCGUGAUUGUACUCAAGUAUGGAGCAGUAAAGAAAAGCAAGGUCAAGUAUGGAAAGCCAAGCAUAUAUUCUAACCAGACCCUCUCAGCCAAAGAAGAUUCCAUUCCCAGCUGGAAAUGCUGUCUCGGAGCAGGAAUGAAGAGCCUCUCUCAUUGGAAUUGCCCAUGAGGACAAAUGCACCCCCCACUUCCGCUAUCUGUAGAAUCUACAGUGCUCUUUGCACCUCUGUUAUGCCCAGGGGAGGCCCAUUUCCCUGAGGAGGAGAAGAGACUUCAAACUGCAAAAGCCUGGAUCACAGCUGCUUUGAGAGAAGUACACGGUGAAUCUCCAUGCCAAGGAAGCUUUCUAUCAUCCUAACUGAAAGACCUACAGGCACCGAACUCAUUAACAGAAGUACCUGGGGAGUCAGAACCCCUCGCCUGAGUGCUGGGAACGGCUGAUGCGCGCC